GGGCCUCUAGCUCCAAUGGUAGAGCACUGGACUUUUAAUCCAUGGGUUGUGGGUUCGAAUCCCACGGGGCCUA
rnacentral:tRNA from 1 species